rnacentral:rRNA from 1 species
CCUACGGGGGGCAGCAGUGAGGAAUAUUGGUCAAUGGACGAGAGUCUGAACCAGCCAAGUAGCGUGAAGGAUGACUGCCCUAUGGGUUGUAAACUUCUUUUAUAUGGGAAUAAAAUGUUCCACGUGUGGGAUUUUGUAUGUACCAUAUGAAUAAGGAUCGGCUAACUCCGUGCCAGCAGCCGCGGUAAUACGGAGGAUCCGAGCGUUAUCCGGAUUUAUUGGGUUUAAAGGGAGCGUAGGUGGAUUGUUAAGUCAGUUGUGAAAGUUUGCGGCUCAACCGUAAAAUUGCAGUUGAAACUGGCAGUCUUGAGUACAGUAGAGGUGGGCGGAAUUCGUGGUGUAGCGGUGAAAUGCUUAGAUAUCACGAAGAACUCCGAUUGCGUAGGCAGUUCACUGGACUGCAACUGACACUGAGGCUCGAAAGUGUGGGUAUCAAACAGGAUUAGAUACCCCAGUAGUC